AUUGAACGCUGGCGGAAUGCUUUACACAUGCAAGUCGAGCGGACAGCGCGGGGGCAACCCUAGGCGGCGAGCGGACGAACGGGUGAGUAAUGCAUCGGAACGUAACCCUGGAGUGGGGGGAUAACGCCGCGAAAGCGGCGCUAAUACCGCAUAUGCUCUGAGGAGGAAAGUGGGGGACCGCAAGGCCUCACGCUUCUGGGAGCGGCCGAUGUCCGAUUAGCUAGUUGGUGGGGUAAAGGCUUACCAAGGCGACGAUCGGUAGCUGGUCUGAGAGGAUGAUCAGCCACACUGGGACUGAGACACGGCCCAGACUCCUACGGGAGGCAGCAGUGGGAAUCUUGCGCAAUGGGCGGAAGCCUGACGCAGCAACGCCGCGUG
rnacentral:rRNA from 1 species